rnacentral:lncRNA from 1 species
UAAGUGAUUAAGAGUAGCAUUAAGGCCUGACACGUGGAGAGAGAAUAUAAAAAGUGACUUUUGGAUGCGCAUGGGUCGACCCAUGAGCCUUGUAGUCGACUUCAGAAGUUUAAAAAUAAUACAAAGUCACGAAUGUAUUGACUCAUCCACGAUUGGAUUCGAUACAGAGAAAAAUGAAUUUAACGUGAAUGUAUCGACU